rnacentral:tRNA from 1 species
CAGAGAAUAGUUUAGUAAAGAAUACCAGCUUUGGGAGUUGGAGGUGAAGGUUUAAAUCCUUCUUUUCUGA